GGCUGCAAAGAAUCUCUUCAUUUUCAAGUAGGCAGGAGAAUUUCUUUACCUGAAUGAAAAGAAGGCUUUUCCUUCCUUGGUGGAAGAUGCCACCCAAGUAGGCUGUGAGGAAAAGACAAGAAUGACUAAUGAGGAAAGAGGAAGAGCAAUAACAUUCCUCAAAAGCUACAAAGAUCAAGGGAGAUAGACCUGAAGAAGAAGGAAAGCAGAUAAAUAAGGUGACUUGAACUCUCUCAGACUGAGGACAAAGUGCUACUAGGUCCUUAAGAAACACCUCUAGAGAGUAUAUGCCCUUAACCCACGACAAAAAGCACUGAAGUUGUGACCAACAGAAAGGACUCUAAGUGCUCUUGAGAAGUACCCAGAAGGUGAAGCAGUUGUGGUAGGCAGGAAGUGCUUCAAGUGCCAAGCUGUAGGCUGAUACCAUGAGAUUUGCAGACCUGAGAAAUUCAGAUAAGCUCAUACAAACUUUGAGCCUCCAAACCUUUUGAAGUUUGCCUGUCAUGAAGUGUAACUCCACUGCUGUCUGCAGACAUCACUGAAGA